CAAUAGACGAGGUAUUCCAUUUAGAUAACUAACAAAACUGUUAGAGCCGUUACCGUAACUGAUCCGGAGAUAUCCGAAGGCGCCAUUUAAUACAAGCUCAAGUGGUCAAUUCACGAGAUCAGGUAAUACCUGCCCAGCGUGUGGCACUACACCCCACAACACCUAUCAUCUAUUUAGAUGCCCAUCUAAACCAACUACUCUAACGGCAGAGGCGCUAUGGACCGAUCCAGUUAAGGCGGCCAGAUUUUUAGAGCUGGAUCUAGGAACCAUUCCCGGACCGGGAUGACCUCAGAGAAAGAAACAGACUAUGAAGACAGGUGAAGAAAAUAUUUCAAAAUUUUUAACCAAAUUGCAAACAAUAUUCCUUAUGUUUAAAAAAAUAACAACUUCAUUUUAUUUCAUACUAAUUAUAGAGGUUAACUAACAAUAAGGGGCUACUAUAAAAACACAAAUAGUAAAAAAAGAAACUCUUAAAGGCAAGAGCGUCCAACAAUAUGACCAUGAGAGUGAAUAUCGCUGGAACGGUGGGUUUUUAUUGAGUAUAUCAAAAAAAAUUUCCAAACACAAGCGGAUCGGAGACAAACCACCGAUCCAGCGAUAUUCACUCUCAUGGUCAUAUUGUACUUUAUUUCAUUAUUUUCUGUUUACCGGCAGCGUAAUCGGGCAAAAGUGCAGGAUGCUGGAAAGGAUAAAACUGACGAUCCAAGCACUUCUACGGAAGCUGGAAAAAUAAUCAGAUUUCCCUGAAGGCAUAACACUGCUAAAAUGCUGAGGAGCUCCCCCCUUUCAAGUACUCUGGGAAAACCAAGCCAGCCAUACCGCAGUGGAGACUCCAGAAAGUGUCCUGUGGAGAUAGACAAAAUCGGAACAGGAGGCCACUUCCAAUAGGAGGCCACAGCCAUCACGGAAGGGGAAGAUGGUCGCUGAGAAUGGUAAGGAGCAGAGAUGAGCUGACGAUCAUCGAUCCCAAGUGGAGGAUCUGGUUAACAAUCGGAUUUUUGAACAUGUGUCGAACUCUGUAGAAGGUCCACCCAUACAAACGAUGGGCUGCGAGUUUAGAGGGGACAUCUUUACGCUGCGUUUUGCGUCGGUGGAAUGUAUUGAUACCGUCAAAUAGCUCGUCAUCAGGCAUACACGCUCCCUGGGAGGGCGCAAAGCUCGACGUGGUGAGAAAGAUGGAUAACCCCCAGCUCACAAAGUCUACGGUUUUCAUCAAGGAAUGGGGCAGUAAAUUUGCGACGGAACGCAUGUUGGGAUUCUUGCGCAAGCAAAAAUAAGGUUUGGUCGCAGAGAUGUGGGAGGUCUUCCACAGGGAGGAGAAGGAGGAAGGAACUCUCUUUGUGGUUGGCAUUGAUCAAGUCUCGGUGACAAGUUUGGCUAAGACUAAAGGCAUGGGUCACUACGGGAGCAAAGCUCUCUUUUUCAAGAUUGGAAAGACCAGGAUAGGCUGAAAUUUUCAUUUUGCGACAUCAGGCCAUGCAGUGGCAGGCAACACCGAACCAACGAACAGGAAGCCGAUGAUGGUACCAAUACCUACUCUCAAGAAGCCCAUUUUCUUAAGAUUUGGAAUGCUAAAAUAGCCAUAGGCAGUACAGGGAACGGAAACCCAAUACUGCUUAACAAACAGGGACCCGACGAUGGAACCAUUAUCGAUUUUAUAAAGAGUCGGAAGACUAGACUAGGCAAAGAACCUAAAACGGUGGCAUCAGUCAGUGCAGUGACAGGAAUGUCAAUGCAGUUAAAAGAACAGGGAGCAGACGAUGAGAUCAUCACCUACUCCCAAGAGGCCCAUUUACUGGAGGACCAAAGAUUGAGGUAGUCCAGAUAAACCUCCACCAGAUCGAGACUGCUACACUCGCUCUGAUGGAGAAAAUCAGCAAUGCAGGAUUCAUAUUGCCUUAAUUCAGGAGCCAGAACAAAUUUUCUGCACUAAACCAAAUAAACUACCAAUUAUUCUUAGCUAAUGCUGGUACUCGGCCGAGGACCUUAGUUAUUUGUCAUAAAAAUGUUAAUUAUAUAUUUUCCCCAGAGUUAUCAACGUCGGAUGCAACAGUGGUGGGACAGGGAGACGAUGGAGCAUACCUGGCAUCACUUCAUCUGCCUUUGGACUCUCCAACACCGCCACCCACCGCAUCGUUUGGGUUCCGCGCCAUAACAGAGUAAAGGGAACUGAAAGGGCAGACGAUUUGGCAGUGAAAGCCAGAGGACUGCCGUCAAUUAACUUGGUUAACCCGAAGCCUUUCGGGACGACGCAGUCCGAGUUAAGGAAAUGGGCGACGAAUGUGCAUGGAACAUUGUGGAAUAGUGAAACGGUCGGUAGGACGACGAAAAUCCUAUGGAGGGAUCCAGAUCGUAAGAAGACGAGGCUAUUGUAUUACAGAAAGGAAGUAAGAAGGAGCAUCUGUAUGGCAUGCGGGCAAGAUGAUGAAACGUUGGAGCAUUUCCUUUGUCAUUGCCCGGCUUUCGCUUCUAACAGCUUCUAACAUUUUAGAGGUUGCUUUAUAGUUUUUAGAGCGCACAACAAGCCGAAUUCUGGUUAGGUUUAUGUCCAUAGUGACAUGGGGCGGAUUAAUAUCUGCACCCUCUUUUCAACCUUACCAAACCUAUUAAUUCCACCCAAAAAAAAAAACAGUUGCUCUACUAAACGUAUGUUGUGUAUGUUACUGUUGAAAAUUAAAAAAGUUUAAAAAUGAUUUCAACCACGUUUUUUAUUCGUAACUUGUGUUUGCAUUAGAAUGUACUACGUCUAUCAUUUCAGUUGCCAAAACUGAAAUAAUUUUUUGCAGUUGUAGCAUAAUUGGCUUAAUAUAUUUUUUUGUCGUAAUGUGUACUUCAGUCUCUAAAAUUAGCCUUUGAGGGAAGCGGACGUGUUUCUCAAUCUGUCUUGGAAAUGGAACUACAUAUUACGCAAAAAGUUCAAAGUCUUUCAGUAAGCUCAAAACGAAAUUCGAAGGCCCAACAUCUGCGGUGGUGGCAUCAGACCGUAGUAUGUUAUCUGCCCCUCCUAGAGGUGUGGGUGCCUUGGCACCUGAAGUCGGGUGCAAUUCUUCAAGCGCACAACCAUUCGUGAGACUAACAAAUAAGGAAGAGACUGAUAAUCCAGAGGGAUGAGCAGCAAAAGUCGACUUUUGCUAACUACGUGAAAAUUUCUAAAAUCACAGGGUGAUACAAAGUAAUAAAAACUAAAAUUACGGAAAUUGUCAACAGUUUUUAGCUUCGGUCGCCAGAAAAUUA